CCAAAUCACAACAUCAAUACAUGCUUCCACUUCAAAAAUUCAUAACUCAAUGAAAACAAAAAAGAAAUGGAUGAGACCAAAACAGGGAUGUCACAUUAUGUGUCUAUUACAAACAUAUCAAAUUUCAUGACAAUCCAAUACCAUAUGAGCAUUUCUCAUUCAAUCUACCAACCUAUGUCAAACAAGCUUGCACAAUUGACCAACAGAAAUGAAAAAU
rnacentral:lncRNA from 1 species